rnacentral:rRNA from 1 species
CGCGAAUCGCCCUUCGGGGUGCAGCAGGCGCGAAAACUUUACAAUGCGGGAAACCGUGAUAAGGGGACACCGAGUGCCAGCAUCAUAUGCUGGCUGUCCGGGUGUGUAAAAUACACCCGUUAGCAAGGGCCGGGCAAGACCGGUGCCAGCCGCCGCGGUAACACCGGCGGCCCGAGUGGUGAUCGUGAUUAUUGGGUCUAAAGGGUCCGUAGCCGGUUUGGUCAGUCCUCCGGGAAAUCUGACGGCUCAACCGUUAGGCUUUCGGGGGAUACUGCCAGGCUUGGAACCGGGAGAGGUAAGAGGUACUACAGGGGUAGGAGUGAAAUCUUGUAAUCCCUGUGAGACCACCUGUGGCGAAGGCGUCUUACCAGAACGGGUUCGACGGUGAGGGACGAAAGCUGGGGGCACGAACCGGAUUAGAUACCCGGGUAGUCCCAGCCGUAAACGAUGCUCGCUAGGUGUCAGGCAUGGCGCGACCGUGUCUGGUGCCGCAGGGAAGCCGUGAAGCGAGCCACCUGGGAAGUACGGCCGCAAGGCUGAAACUUAAAGGAAUUGGCGGGGGAGCAC